rnacentral:lncRNA from 1 species
GGGAGGAAAAGCAGCAUAUCAGGAUAUCUUUGCCUUAGAGAAGUCCAUUUCUAGAUGCUCUGCCAUCCAGAAAUACGACGAAAAAUAUGUUUUAAAAUUUUAAAAGAAAUUAAAAAGUAAAAAUAAUAAAAAUAAAAAGUUAUAAAGAAAAUAAAUUAAAAUAAAAACAAAAAGGAAAGAAACUAAAAAGCAACCUUGUAAUUACACAAUGUAAUUACCACCAAUUCUCACAUUCCCCUUGAGAAUUGGAGAGAGUAACUACACCCCUCCAAUUACACCCAAUUCCAUGUUGACCAAGUAAUUACUUGGCCAAACAAACAUGCCAAACUGUGUAAUUAUACCCAAUUACACCCAAAUCCAUUUCCAAGGUGGUUUUCCAAACAGGCUCUUAGUUUCUGGAUUCAAUGAGAGAGCAAUAGAAGUAUUCGUAUUUCGUGUAUCAUCCUAAUCUUCUUUCCUUGCUGAGCUCUCAGAAGAUGUUAAAGAGCUUUCAAGUGAACACAAGAUUUCACCAUUCAAUUGUUUUCUCUCUGUAUCUUUUGAAAUUGAACCAUCAAUUUUUGUUAUUGUUGUUCCUUUCCUUCACCGAGCCGAGGGUCGAUUGGAAACAGCCUCUCUGCCGUUUCGGGUAGGGGUAAGGCCCGUCUACANNNNNNNNNNNNNNNNNNNNNNNNNNNNNNNNNNNNNNNNNNNNNNNNNNNNNNNNNNNNNNNNNNNNNNNNNNNNNNNNNNNNNNNNNNNNNNNNNNNNNNNNNNNNNNNNNNNNNNNNNNNNNNNNNNNNNNNNNNNNNNNNNNNNNNNNNNNNNNNNNNUUUUUUAAUUUCUGUUAUUGCUGAUAAGGGAGAACUUGGUCAACUACCUAUGUUAACCAUUGAAACUAAUUGAGAGAGUUCAGCUUUAGCUAGUUCCUCUCCAACUGAAGAAGUACCAUAACCUGCUAGUGUUUCUUGUGCUUUCUUCAGAACUGAUUGUAAAUACUUGCCUUGAGCUUGUAUCCUUAGUUGUAAAUGUCUUUGUACCUCAAUCUGUUGAUGAAGUUUCUUCUGUACCUCCAUUUGCAUUUGUAAAGCUCUAGCUAUUUGCAAACUCUCAUUACUAUUCAUAGGCACUAUUCACAUAAAUUUUUUUGUGAAAAAUGGCGCCGGAAGAAGGGAAGCUUAAGAUUGACAAGUUCAAUGGCAAAGAUUUUGGAUUCUGAGAGAAUUAUUUGUACUAGAGAAAAUUAUACUUACCUCUGACCGAGGUAAAACCACAGAAUAUGGCCAAAGCGGAUUGGGAUCUAUUAGAUUGCCGAGCUCUUGGUGUGAUUCGUUUGACGUUAAAAUGAAAUGUAGCGUUUAACAUCAUUAUCGAGAAGACUACUGCAGGCCUGAUGAAGGCAUUAUCAAAUACGUACGAGAAGCGAUCUGCUUCAAAUAAAGUCUAUUUUAUGCGUCAAUUGUUCAACUUAAAAUGACAGAAGGUGAAUUUGUCAUGGAACAUAUCAAUGAGUUUAAUAUAAUAUUAACUCAGUUGAAUUCUGUUAAUAUAAAAUUUGAUGUCGAAGUCAGGGCAUUGAUUCUACUAUCUCUCUACCAGAGAGUUGGCUUGCGGCGAUAAUUGCAGUUAGCAGUUCAUCGGGAAGUACCAAACUCAAAUUGAAUGAUAUUAGAGACGUGGUUCUAAGCGAAGGUAUUCGUCAAAGAGAAUGAAAUGAUUAACCAGGAUCUGCUUUUAAUACUGAAAGCAGGGGGCAAAAGCAGUCAAAGAGGACAAAGUCAUGAUCGUGGAAGAUAACUUAAGGAGAAGAGGGCAAUCCAAAAAUCGCAUGGACAUUACUUGUUGAAAUUGCGAUAAAAGGGGUUAGUACAAUAGUCAAUGUAGAGAACCAAAGAAGAAGGAAGAAAAUUCAGCAAAUGUAAUUGCUGAACUAGUUAGUGAUGCACUAAUUUGUUGUGCAGAUAGUCCAGUCGAAUCUUGGAUUCUGGACUCAGGUGCAUCCUUUCACUCUACAUCAUGCAAAGAAUUAUUGCAUAAUCAGUUGAAAAUAGUAGACGGCGAACCUCUAGUAGACGGCGAACCUCUCGACAUUGCGGGGAAAGGUGAAGUUCGUGUAAAUAAAGAAAAAUCAAAAAGAGAUGAAAUAUGAUGUAAGCGCUUACACCGACAUGGGUUACCUAGCAGCAGUGUUACAAAUAGCGUCCGCUACAACGCUAAAAGCAUGUAGUGAGGCGAGGCGAGGGUGUGUCGCUUCAAAUCACCUGUUGCGUUGCGAUUCAAAAUAGUGGUCGCCUCUCCCUGUGUUGCGCGAGGCGACAGUGUCGCGAGAAGCGACUGUAGCGUCGGUAUUUUUAUUUUUAAAAAAUAGUAAGGGCGAAGACUUAAGUCGGGAAUUAGGGGUUGACAUUUGGUCUUCAAGCUUUUCACCUGCGAACAAAACAACAGAGGUUUCAGCGAUUAGGGCUUUUUACCUGCGAACAAAACAACAGUCUUCUUCUUCAUCGUCUGCCUUCAUCUUCUUCAAGCUUUAGCAGAGGUUUCUUCCAUUGAAAGACCAUGUAUGCUUCUUCUUCUUUCUCCUUUCUCCUUUCUCCUUCUCUUCUUCUUUCUAUUUUUUCCCCCCUGUUUUUUGUCGAAAGAAAUAGAGCCAAAUAGGGUUUGUUUUUGUGCUGUAUUUGUCGAGCAAAAACUGAGGUCUUUUUUCUUCUCUUAAUUUUUUUUUUAUUUGCUGUUUUUCCAGAGGCAAAAAAUUUUAUUUUUGUUCUUCUUUCUUUGUUGUUCCAGAGGCAGAAUCAUUUCGUUUUUUUGCUCUUUUUUUUAAUCUUCUUUCUUUGCUGCUUUUCCAGAGUCAGUAGCCCUUUUUUGUUUGCUCUGUUUUUUCAACUAUAGAAUUAUAAUAUAAUAGAAUAGAAUAAAUUGCAUAUUGACUUGAUAAUUUUGUUUCUAUAAAACAGAGUUGAAAAUUGAAUAUUAAAUACAAUAGAACAUUGAGGCGACGUUAUGAAACUCACGAUACCAUUGAUCCAAUUUUGUUGGACAACAUGGAUGAGACAAAUGAAUGGUUAGCUGAAGCCCCCUCAAAACCAUGAAGAAGAACAAGUGUAUGAAGGAGAGAUCUUGAUUGGGGUACCGUUUCUAUGGCGGUUGGAGUUGAGGAGAAUAUCUAUGGACUUAAAAGGAGUUCUUUAAGUUACAAGGGAAAGAGAGUAGCAAGUUCAGCCGGUCCCAAAUUGAUGAAGAAUCCGAGGAUGAAGAAGAUGAUAGCCAAUAUAAUGCUAACAUUCAUGAAGUUGUAGAAUUUGAAAAUCUUGAAGAAGAAUAGACGUUGCUUGUUUUAGACUAGUAGACUUUAGUUAAUGAAUCUACUAUGACUAUCUAUUGAGUCUUUAAUUUUUGAAUUGAUAUAUUAAUAAAUAUAUCAUCCCUCGUCGCUAUUUGUCACCGCGUGCUAUCCAAAAACUGUACAGAUGUACUGUUUGGUUUAUAGAGCCCGUUUGGAUUGGCUUGUUUUAAGUGCUUUUAAGACAUUUUGUAGUGUUUAUAUAAAGUAAAAAAGUGCGUUUAAGCACUUGUUUUUAAGCUAAAAUGACAAAAACAAGCCAAAAGUUAGAAUUCCUAACUUAUGGCUUAAAAGUCACUUAAAAACAAGCCCAUCACGGAACAGUGCAAAAAAGGCACUAUUUUUUUAUUAGUGUGUUCCAAAAAAAUACAUUUUUAAAUUUUAAUAUAAUUUAAUUUUAAACGUCUCAUUUUAUCCUUAAAUAGAAGUUUCUAAAGCCACACACAUAUUAUGUUUAAGAUCACAAAUUUCAAAAAUUUUAAAAUCACACAAAUAUUAUGACAUGUUUGACAUCACAAAUCUUAAAAGUCGUUCCUUUAUAUAUAUAUAUAUAUAUAUAUAUAUAUAUAUAAUAUUUUAUGUUUUUGUAUAAAUGCACAUCAAAAAGGCGAGCGCUUCGCUGCGCACCUCUCGCCUCAGUGAAGCGGGCCCUCGUUGCUAUUUGUCGCUGCACGCUAUCCAAAACAUUGCCUAGCAGACAACGAAUCUCUGAAAAUUGUCGGGAAAGGUGAAGUUCAUAUAGAAACUUCGCAAGGCACACUGUGGAAAUUGCAAAAUGUCCGACAUGUUCCUGGCCUGAAGAAAAAUCUGAUAUCUAGAAGCAGAUUGACAAUGAAGGAUAUAUAACAACAUUCGGUAACGAAUUGUGGAACAUAACCAAAGGAAAUUUGGUUGUGGCACGAGGCUUCAAGAAGGGAACACCGUAUGCAACUGCAAUACAGAGAGAUACUAUAGCAACAAUUAAUCAUGGUUGUCAUACAACAUUGUGGCACCGAAGGCUCGGGCAUAUGAGUGAGAAGGGAAUGAAGUUGUUGGCAUCUAAAUAAAAGUUGACAACCUAAAGCAUGUUGAAUUAGGUUUGUGCGAAGAUUGCAUUUACGGAAAACAAAAGAGAUUUAGUUUCUCAAAGGCGGGAAGGACACCAAAGAGCGAGAAGCUGGAACUAGUCUCAAAGGAGGGAAGGACGCCAAAGAGCGAGAAGCUGGAGCUAGUCUCAAAGGAGGGAAGGACGCGAAAGAAAGAGAAGUUGGAACUAGAUGUGUGGGGACCAGCUCCUAUAACUUCUCUGGGAGGCUCACGUUAUUAUGCCACCUUCAUUGAUGAUUCCACAAAAAAGGUAUGUGUUUAUUUUCUAAUGUGUUUGUACUUUUAAAAGAUAGAAAGCUGAAGUUGAAAAACAGACAAGUCUAAAGUUAAAAUGCCUGAAGUCUGACAAUAGAGGAGAGUAUGAUAGUCAAGAGUUAAAAGCAUUAUGCUCUGAGAAAGAGAUCAGAAUGAUCAAGAUAGUUCCUGGAAUACCGGAACAAAAUGACAUUGCUGAAAGGAUGAACAAAACCCUGAAUGAACGAGCCAAAAGUAUGAGAAUACAUUCUGGAUUGUCGAAGUAAUUUUGGGCCGAGGCUGUUAAUACAGUAGCUUACCUCAUAAAUAAGGGACCCUCUAUACCACUGAAUAUUGAAAUUUCUUGAGGAGGUAUGGAUAGGAAAGGAGGUAACUCUCUCACAUAUGAAAUUUUUUGGUCGUGUUGCUUAUGUGCAUGUAAACUCGAAUGAUAGAGAUAAGCUUGAUCCUAAAGCUAAGAAAUGUUUCUUUAUUAGCUAUUUUGAUGAUAAUUUUGGUUUAUCGAUUUUUGAAUGAUCAGGAUAGAAAGAUCCUAAGAUACAGGAAUGUCACAUUUAAUGAAAAUUUGAUGUACAAAGACAAGCUUGAAGUCGAACCAACCAACACAAGCAAACAAUCAUCUAAAACAGUUGAGUUAGAAGAAAUAUCAGAAAAUGAAGUGGCCAGAGGAAUUACAAUUGAUUCUGAAAUUGAGAAUGAAGAACUAGAAGCCGAAUCUGGAUCAGAACCAAAAUCGAAACCAGAGAUAGAAUCAACUCGGGAUGUUGAACCUACAUUAUAAAAAGUCAAGAAUGCUCCAGAUAGGUUAACUCUCUCUCAUCUAUUCUUUCAAGGCUAGCUUCCACUUAUCAGAGUUUAUCAGCUGCAUUAGCCUUGAAAGAAUAGAUGAAUUAUCUUCAAAAGAAUAAAACAUGGAUACUUGCAGAGUUAACCAAAAGGAAAGAAGGCAUUACAGAACAAGUGGUUCUAAAGAGUCGAGGAAGAGCAUGAUGAUAAGAAGAGAUACAAAGCACGAUUAGUAAAUGGCUUUCAGUAGAAGGAACGAAUUGACUACACCGAGAUCUUCUCUCCUAUAGUCAAAUUAACUACUAUCAAGUUGGUGCUAAGUAUUGUAGCUGCAGAAAAUGUGCAUUUAGAGCAGCUAGAUGUUAAAAUUGCUUUCUUGCAUGGUGACCUUGAAGAACACAUUUACAACGUGAAGGUUUUCAAGUUUAUGGUAAAGAAAAACAUUUUGAGUAAGUUGAAGAAGAGUUUGUAUGGUUUGAAACAAGCUACCCGACAAUGGUACAAGAAUUUGAUGGAUUCACGGAUAACAAUGGUUUCAUGUGAGAUUGACCAUUGUUGUUAUAUCAAAAAUCUUGAUGAAUGCUAUAUCAUUUUACUGUUGUACGUUGACGAUAUGCUAAUUGCAGGAUCUAGCAUAAAAAAGAUCAACAUGGUUAAGCAACAACUGGCGGAGGAGUUUGAAAUGAAAAACUUAGAACCAACUAAGCAAAUGCUUGGGAUGAGGAUUAGCAUAAACAUGUCUGAAGAAACCUUAAAAUUGUCUUAAGAAAAAUACAUACAGAAGGGACUAAACAGCUUCAAUCUUCAUGAUACAAAGACCAGAAGCACUCCACUCAGAAAAGUUAACAAAUACAUCAGAUUUAUUUUUUGGAAAAUAAACCCAUACCUUUCUUGUGGAACCAUCAAUGAGCGUGAGCCUCCUAGAGAAGUUACAGGAGCUGGUCUCUAUACAUUUGUAUGCACUAGUUUUAGCUUCUCUUUCUUUGGUGUUCUUCUCGCCUUUGAGAAACUCUCUCUUUUGUUUCCCGUAAAUGCAAUCUUCGCACGAACGUAAUUCAACAUGCUUUAGGUUUGGCAACUUUUCUUUGGAUGCCAACAACUUCAUUCUUUUCUUACUCAUAUGCCCGAGCCUCCGGUGCCACAAUGUUGUAUCACGACCAUGAUCAAUUGUUGCUAUAGUAUCUCUCUGUAUUGUAGUUGCAUACAGUGUUCCCUUCUUGAAGCCUCGUGACACAACCAAAUUUUCUUUUGUUAUCUUCCACGAUCCGUUACCGAAUGUUGUUGUAUAUCCUUUACUGUCAAUCUGACCUAUAGAUAUCAGAUUUUUCUUGAUGCCAGGAAUAUGUUGGACAUUUUGCUAUUUUCAUAGCGUUCCUUCUUUGGGUUUCUACAUUGGCUAUUGUAGUGUGCUUUUUAUCGCAAUUCCAAUAAGUAAUGUCCGUGCGAUUUUUGGAUUGCCCUCUUCUCCUUGACUUUGAUCUACCAUGACCAUGAUUUUAUCCUCUUGGUUGCUUCUCCCCCUGCUUGCGGUAUUAAAAGCAGAUCCUAGGGAUUACUUGAUUCUCUUCGGCGAAUAUCUUCACCUAGAACCAAGUCUCUAAUAUCAUUCAAUUUGAGUUUGGUACUUCCCGAUGAACUACUAACUGCAGUUACUGUUGCAGACCAACUCUCCAGUAGAGAUGAUAGUACAAUCAAUCAAUGCCUGACUUCGUCAUCAAAUAUUAUAUUAACAGAAUUCAACUGAAAUAUUAAACUUAUUGAUAUAUUAUGUUACAACACCUUCUGUCAUCUUUAAGUUGAACAAUCGACACAUCAAAUAGACUUUAUUUGAAGCAGAUGGCUACUCGUGCAUAUUUGAUAACGUCUUCAUCAGACCUGCAGUGGUCUUCUCGGUAAUGAUAUUAAACGCCACAUUUCGUAUUAGCGUCGAACGAAUCACACCAAGAGCUUGAUGAUCUAAUAGAUCCCAAUCCGUUUUUGGUCAUAUUCUGUGGAUUUACCUCAGUCAAAGAUAAGUGUAAUUUUUUCUGGUACAAACAAUCUUUAUUUGCAUUUUUUGGAAUCGAAAAUCUUUGCAAUUCAACUUGUCGAUCUUAACCUUCCCCUCUACCUAUGCCAUUUUCACAAAAAAAAAAUUAUAUGAAUAGUGACAAUGAGUACUAUUCCGUGUAAAAAAAAAUAUUCCAACCAUACAAGGUAGACUACAAUCACUAUUGGUGAACAAUACUAUCACUGUUAAUGGAUAGUACUUCACUAUUGUGAAUAAUGUUAGUAAUGAUGAUCACUGGUGUCGCAUUAUGCUUGUGAAUAAUAUCUGCACCAAUACCGUACUUUUCUACUAAAAUUACACUGUCUGUGCUCUGGAACUAGUUUUUGGGACUUGGGAAGAGUGUCUGGCUAAUAGAAAGAAAAAAAUAUUUAAAGGAGAAAAAGCAAUAAAUUGCACAAAACAGAAUAUGGUGCGGCAAUUUUUUCCUACUCCACGGCUACUCAAAGAAAAAGUUCUUUAUUAAUUGAAGAGGAAGAAGAAUUUGAGGGAUGAUUUUCAAUUGAGAAAAGGGAUGCCUAUUUAUAGGCAGAGCGUUGCCGAAAGGAAAGUUUCAACGAAUGUAAAUACGAAGAGGACGGCACCGCAAAUUGCGCGCCGAAUUCUUUUUUCACAUUUGCAGCCUGCCAACUUGACUUUUCCACUUUUUUUUUCUUCUCUCUGUCUUCGUUUACAACUUUGUUUUUCCACGUUUUCUUUGUUCUCUUUGUCUUCUUUUACAGCUUUUGUCUCCUUUCUUUUAUUUCUUUUACAUUUGGGUUUGUUCCUUUCAAAUGUCUACACCUGCAUCUUUAGGGUUUCUUGUUACCAAAUGUUAUCACCUUCUUCAGUCAUGUAUAGUGGUGGCAAAAGGAUAACAAAAAUAGUUAUCCAUCUAUAUUAUUCACUUAAAAAUAUGUUGGAUAAUGAACUUUUUAAAAAUGGAUCAAAUAUGGAUAAGAACCAUAUUAUCCACUUAAAAAUGAGUAACCAAUGAGUUAACUUUUAUAUUUGUGAAUACUCAAAUUGGGAUUUCCUCAAGUUUGGGAGAUUAAGCCAGCGUCUGAACAUAGAUUUGAUUGAAAUUUUUAAAAAAAAGAUUUUGAAUUGUUGAAAAAUAUUUUUGGAAGUUGAAGUUCUGUUUGGACAUAUAUUUUAUUCAAAGAAAAGUUGAAAUUUUGUGAGUGGAAAAAAAAAUUCACCCAUAACCUGUGUGAACUUGAAAAUUUCUAAAAAAAAUUCUCCUAAAUCAUGAUCAUAUUUUAUCUGCAUUUUGCAUUACCUGUUUUCGACCUGUCCAUAUCCGACCCAACCAACCGUUUGACACCCCUAUUCAUGUAUCAACUCAGUGUUUCUCAAAUCUUGAAGCGUGCACCCUGCGUCCAGCAUGAGAUUCUACUGUUUUCUAAUUUGCUUCCUCUUUUUAUUGGUAAAUAAUUUAAUUAGAAGUGAAGCGUAUUAAUGUGCUUGCCGAAUCGUAUCCUUCUAACUUUUUCUUUUAAAUGUUGAUUGGUUAAAGACCUGCUAAUUUUUGUUUGUUUUACUUGCUAAGAAUUCUAAUAUCACUUGUUAUAGCCAACUUUAGUAGUAGUUGUUGAUAUGCUUUUUCACAUAUAUUAAUUUGGGUAUGUUGUUGUAUUUUCACGGUGUAGGAUAAUACUGGGUAUGUUAUUGUUGUAUUAUCCCAUUCUAUUUUAAGAGCUGUAUCGUGUGAGUCAAUAUUGGCUAAUUUAAAAAUGCAAUAUCCUCAUUGAACUGUUGUCUUAUCUUACAUAAUCAGGAGGAAAUCGAAGUUGAAGCCACAGUAUUACGUGUUGGGAAGACAAUUGGUGUUGUCAGUGUUGAGUUGAGGAAGAAAGAGACAGGGAAGAUAGUUGCACGAGGUCGUCAUACCAAGUAUUUGGCUGUUAACAGUAAGCUUUGAGCUACUACAUAUACAUUUGCUGCGCACACAGAACAAUCCCCUAAAUCCUUUCCGAGGAAAUUUUACCAUAUAACAAGUAUUUUUAGCAUGUAUAAUAUUACUCAACUGAACAUUCAAGUAAAGGCGUACGUACGUACAUGCUCAUUUUAUGUAGUUAAUUACAAAUCAACAGUGUAUCCUGUACUGCAAUAUUAUAUUUUCCUUCAUAAUAAAGAUGGAGUUCUUACACUAAAGUGAGUUGAUGUGCCAUAAGAAGUGCAAAAUGGCAUUUGAUUUUGUGUUACAAAAAUUGGUUUCCUGAAUGGAUUUGCUAGGUUGAUGAGGUCUCUUGACAACAUAUGCCUUCUUGUAAGAAAAUCCUUCCAUUUGGGGUCCAUAAUAGGAAUUCCACACAUUCAAAUGCCAUACUGCGACAUACAUGGAAAUGGGUAAGAUAGUUGAAACUGAUUCUCUUUGAUGCAUGAAACUUGAUCUAACUCAACCCCAAAGCUAGCUCUCCAUCCCCCUCCCCCCAUACCUAAGGCUGGACAUCUGGAGCAUGGACAAUUCAAUAUGGGGGUCCAACAUCGGUAUCCUACUUUGAUACCAUGUUAAAUGAAUUAGACUUUGAGCUUUGUUAUCAUAUUAAAAUGUGUGACCAUCUUAUCUAAAAGCUAAAGUUGUUAGAGAGAACGCAAUUUUAUUUACUUGUUAUGCAACAAUCUUUUCUCUGGGAUAAAUUUUGUUAACAGUACUAUAAUUGAAUAGGUUCACAGUGUAGCAAAGAUUCAAAAAUAGCCGUCCAUUUAAACUGUAUAAUCGAAUAAUUAAAGACAGAACAAAGGCUAACAUAUUGAAGAAAUUGCGCUUUGUUACUGGUGUCUUAAGUCUAAAGUUCUAACCUUGGACAAAGAAAGGUAAAAAGACCAGCCAUCAAUAAAAGCAGGGGAAGGAUCAAGUUUAAUACAAGGAAACCUAAUACUUCUAGUAGUAAAUAAAUGUCCAUAGUUGGACCUUCAUGUCAAAGGGAAAUUAGAAAGGUCACUCGGAACUCGCUCUGACUAGUUGGUGGAUCAUACGUUUUCUUCACUCUGUACGAGUCCAAGUGCUUCUCCUAAAUUCAAAUUGUUUCUUAUGGUCCUCCUUCCAACGCCUCCACCUGUGCCUUUCCUCAUCAUUGCAGAAAAUUCCUUAUAGUCUAUCUGUCCAUCCUGCAAAUUGGAAGUUCUUUUUUAGUGCGGAAAACUCAAGAACAGACGUUAAGAAUCAAACAUCAGUGUACUAGAGUCAACAGAAAAACAAAGUACAAGUUGCACAUAAAAGGAAUUAGUAUCGAGAAGUUGAUAAGUGGACUGUCAGUGUGCUGAUAGGAACUCAAACAAAUAACUAAACCUUCACAAGAGAGUGAGAAAAUUAGGGCUCUAUUUAGCUGCACAACAUUAAACAACUUAAAAAGAAAUUGCUCGGAUUGAUACAAGCAGAUUCUUAUGUUACUAUACAUAGUUUAAAUCAGUAAACUCGUCUUCAGCACUGUAAAUGCAGUACAAAAUGAGACUCGCUGAAUGGUUUCUUUCAAAAUCAUAAAAUAGCUCAGAGCAGAAAUAAAACAUCAGCAGAUUUCACGAUUUACAGCCUUCAAUUAUAUGAUGCAUCUAGUGGAAUGGGGGCUGCGGAGAUCGGGCUAGAGGAACAGUCGCUGCCAUUCACAACUCAGAAGGCAUGCAUGGAGAUUCUGUCUGUCGGAGGUUCGAGAAUUAAGAGCUGCUAUAAUGUUUUUGGCUUUAAGUGUGUGCUUGAUAUUGUGUGCAUAUCUGGAGAGCUAGGGCCCAGUAAGCAAAUAACAGGAGAUUCUACUCUAAACGGAAGACUAGUUGGCACUGUUUGAUUAGAUAAGUUAUCCUUCCUAAGAUGCUAGGGGUCUAUUGAAAUACUUGUACAUGGGAAGUCAAGGUAUUGUCAUGAAAUCCUUCAUAAGCACUGCCUAACAUGCCUUCUUUAGCCGAGGGUCUAUCGGAAACAAUCUCUCUACCCUUCCAGGUAGGGGUAAGGCUAAGAUUAUACUGGGUGGCUGUUGUUGUUGUUUUUGUUGCACUGCCUAACAUGAUGAAGACGGGACUUGCACUGCCUAGCAUGCCUUCUUUAGUCGAGGGUCUAUCGGAAACAAUCUCUCUACCCUUCCACGGUAGGGGUAAGGCUGCGUAUAUCCUAACCUCCCCAGAGAAUUCUGGGUGGUCGUUGUUGUUUUUGUUGCUAACAUGAUGAAGACGGGACAGGAGUAGGUCAUUAAUGGGCUUUUAGUUCUUAUGUUUGAACAGAUCGCUUUUAGAAAGAAACAAUAUGGCAGUCAAAGGAAAAAACUUCUACUUCCUCUUUUGUGGUGGGAGGGUGUCGGUAAUAGUACUUGGCAUCACUUACUUUUGUCCAUUGACAGUUUUCUUUCAGCAUAUUUUGCACAAAUUAUGUUCCUUCUUUUAGUUAGCUAAAAAGAGAGGAAAAAGCAACUCCUCAAGUACACUAACUUAUGACGGGAGCAAUUGGGCGUUCAACUAAAAACUUAAGGCAAUUAAUGAAGUGAAAAAAGACCUUUAUAAACUCUUACGGAUGUCCAUGUUUGGCCACUAUAUAACUCAACACCCAUCCGAGUGCAUCUGAGGUUCUCGCACAGACUUUAAUGUGUAUUUAUGGGCAUGCAAAUGAGCUUGCUAAAGUUGGCUCUAAUCCACAGAAAGAUUAUGAGCAUCCAACCCUUAAGGCAAUGGGUAGAGCGGCACGAUCUUUAUAAACCCCUUUGGAUGUCUUUUAAUACGUUAGGGGACAGUAUGUAACUCAAACUUACCUUUACUCCUUACAUAUGUGCAUGACAGAAAAACAAAAGAGAACAGAACUUACAUUAUCUUGAUCAAUAUCUUUAAUAAUUUCAUCAAGAUUAAGCUCGCUAAGACCAAAUUCUUUGCAGGCUUGCUGAAGUUCUUCGAUAGUUAUGUAUCCACUACCAUCUUUGUCAAAAUAAGAGAAGGCUGAUAACAGAUUCUCUUCCCUUUCCAAUUUGUUCAAAUGAACAGUAGCGGCAAUAAAUUCCCCAUAGUCUAUUGUUCCAUUGUUGUCGAUGUCUGCCUGUCAGACAAAAUAUGGUUGGAUCCGUGUAGUCAAAUGAGCAGAAAAAUUAUACUAUAUAAGAGCAUAAACAAGAGUGUGUGAUUAGAGGACUAGGUGAAGAUAUCUCGAAGACACAAAAACAUGGUGAGGAGAAUUCUUACUGCAUCCAUAAGAUCCUUGAUCUCGGACUCCAUCAAUUCAGAACCUACUCGCCUCAAACCCUCUUUUAAUUCCUCAAAGGUUAUUGUUCCACUAUUGUCUGUGUCUAACAUUUUGAAUAGCUCCUUGAGACCACCAAUUUCUUCUUCUGAAAGCCUCUCGGCAAUCACCUACAAAUAACAAGGAAUUUAAUAAGACAUUGAACACUGAAUAGGAAUUGAUAGUGACUGGACUUGUCAAUAUAAAUAUCAUAUAGAUAGCAGAGAGAAGCACCACAAUUUUAUUUGUAACUUCCAUCCAAAAAGAAAAACCUCCAUUCAACAACGAUGUCAGCAAAAAUUAGGACAAUCAUUGAGUUCAUAUUAUCCUGGUUAUUUCGUAACAAAUUUUCACUUCAAAUGUCAUCAGCAACACAUUAUCAACUGAAAGGGGAAUGGGAUACUUUCAGCAGGAUUUAUGAGAAAAACCUAUAAUUUCUAUGCACAUUUCUCUUUCUCAGGAAAAAAUAGCUUUUCGCCAGGAUUUCGAGUACAAAUCGCCACAAGCAGGACUUAGAUCCCAGUGGAAGAAAAAUAUAAGUAGUGUGAUGUCAGCAUCUGUUAAAAAUUGAGUUACUUCUGGUAAAAACUGCAAGAGGAUCAUCCUUUCGCUCCAAAUUGCAAGAUAAAAAUUCCAUUACCAAUAUAGUGGCCCAUUCCUUAGUGCAAUUGAAUUUUGUGGUUGUUCAAUCUCCUUUUUUCCCCGAUCCUCUUUUUAGCUUUUCUCAUUCCAUACAUGUUCUCUCACGGAAGCAUGCUUCAGGAAAUAAGAAGAUAAAAACAGCAAAAGCAUUUAUCGGGGAAAUGCUUUUGCUGUUUUUAUCUUCUUAUUUCCUGAAGCAUGCUUCCGUGAGAGAACAUGUAUGGAAUGAGAAAAGCUAAAAAGAGGAUCGGGGAAAAAAGGAGAUUGAACAACCACAAAAUUCAAUUGCACUAAGGAAUGGGCCACUAUAUUGGUAAUGGAAUUUUUGUCUUGCAAUUUGGAGCGAAAGGAAUUCAAUUGCACUAAGGAAUGGGCCACUAUAUUGGUAAUGGAAUUUUUAUCUUGCAAUUUUUCUGGAACAGAAAUUACAAAGACAGAAUAUGGAUAAGACAAUGCAGGAGACCUGAUUACUGGAACCUAUGCUCACUGGUACUCAUUUUGAUAUAACAUCAGUUUUGACUAUAUAAUCAAUAAUUGCACCAAAAAUUAACUGUUGGAAAAGAACAACUUAUGGCAUACAUAUCAGUAUCAUGAAAAACUGCUAACAAGUUUGCAACUUUUAGACAGCACUGUAUUCAAAAUGCUAUCCUAAUAAACCAUUCUGGAAAAACUACAUAUAGAGCAACAUAUCCCUCCAUAAUCGUCAGCCAUUGGAACUGCCAAUUCUGCAGUUCCAGGGGUCAUUGGCAUUAAAAUUUUAGUCACUUUCGGCUUGAUAUUGCGGCAUGAUACAGAAUUUUAUUCAAAGAGAAUUCACAUUCUAAAACGAUGUUUGUUUACCAAUCCAAAACAAAAAAAGAGGAGAAUUCACAUUCUAAAAUUUGGUGGCAAUCAUCUAACUCUUUAAAACUUACAACAUUUAAAUGACUGAGCUGGUUCAUUCCAAACAGAACAUAUAAGGAGGUAGCUUCAUUGUCUCAAUCCUUCAUGCUUUUCACUUUUAGAUAAAAGAAAGGGAACAAUUUAAACUCUCGCAUAACUAUGAUAUGUCAAAGAAAUACACUUGCUAACAAUUUCAAGGUUCUUUAUUAAAUGGCUUUUCUGCAAUUUAGUAUUUCAAGAAGCAGCAAUUAAGGUGCUUGAGCCUUAUCUUAUGUUUACUGGGGAAAAAGUCCAGUCAAAGUCAUAAACAUCGUUUCAAUUUUUUAGAUACCAUUAAGUGCCUAGUUAAAUGCUUUUUCAAUUAAUCGGAGUAGUACGGCUGACAACCUCAAGAAAUCUUUCCAAGCUUCUAUAGACUCGGUUACUUCAGCUUUAGGGCUUUCCCUUACACCCAAACCACAACGAAUAAAAUAAAGCAGCGACUUUUUAUUUUUGUGCAUUUUGUAUCAUAGGUAAUAACUCUUUCCUUCCAGUACUCCACAUGGGAAAGGCCAAAUACAUACACAGACCCUCUAACUUGGCACGAAGUUUCAUGUUGGAACCUUAUCUCAACUAGGUUUCAAUUGACUGCCUUAUGUAUGCUCAAACUGUAUCAUUUUAAACCCCUCAUUACUUGCCAACAAGAAAUAUUGAAUGCGUGAACUAUAUGUGCAGUGAUGUGGCAAAAUGUCAAAUGAAAACAAGCGAAGUGGCUUUUGAGUCUAACUAAUCAGGAGAUCUUUCCUAUGGGAAGGAAUUAGUGAAGGCCAUAAAUUCCAUCUAGUGAAACGGCCAAAAGUAAUCAUGCCAAGAAACCAAGGAGGCUUGGGAAUCAGAGACUUGUCAAAGCACAAUAAGAGUUUGCUCAUGAAAUGGUGGUGGAGGUAUGCUCAAGAAUCAACAUGCUUGUGGAAGAAGUUAGUUAAUGCCAAAUAUGGGAUACAAGACAGGUGGUGCACCAAGCAAGGCAGGGCUCCACAUGGAGUUGGCCAUGGAAGCGCAUCAACAAUCUACAAGAAGCUUUUUUUCAAGAAGUAUCCUAUAAGGUUGCAAAUGGCAACAACAUCAAAUUUUGGAAGGAUAGAUGGCUCAACAAUCAACCCCCGAAAGAUUCCCAUCCUGGCCUCUAUCAGAUUGCCUUUGACCCCAACUCUUUUAUUGCACAAAAUAGAGAAGGGAGCACGUGGGACCUCCACUUCAGAAGAAACAUGCAGGAUUGGGAGCUAAAUCAGCUUAUAGACCUUUACAGAAAUCUGGAAGGUGCUGAAGGGAACUCUCAAGUCUCAGACACCUUAAGGUGGGGCAGCUCUGAAAAAGGCAUCUACACGGUCAAGGCUGGAUACAUCAAUCUAAGUGUUUCAAAUGAUAUGAUCGAGUCAUGGCCAUGGAAACUUAUCUGGAAGACAAAGCUGCCACCAAAAGUAAAGUGUUUCUCCUGGACAGCCCUCUAUGAAGCUAUUCACACCCAGGAUAACCUUUGCAAAAGGAAUUUCCAGAUGGCUAAUAGGUGCCACUUGUGCAGAUUAAACUCUGAGUCGGUUAACCAUCUGCUGCUCCACUGCACAGUGGCAUCAGACCUUUGGAGCAUGUUCCUUCCACUCUUUGGCACCAGUUGGACUAUACCUCAAACAAUAAGGGGAGCAGUACUUGGUUGGAGCUUAUGGGAAGUUGACAAAUCCAUCAAAAAGAUCUGGCAAAUGAUCCCGUCAUGUAUUUUUUGGUGUUUAUGGUCUGAGAGGAUUCGAAGAUGCCACAGUGGCAUCAGACCUUUAGAGCAUGUUCCUUGCACUCUUUGGCAUCAGUUGGACUAUACCUCAGACAAUAAGGGAAGCAGUACUUGGUUGGAGCUUAUGGGAAGUUGAAGAAUCCAUCAAAAAGAUCUGCCAAAUGAUCCCGUCAUGUAUUUUUUGGUGUUUAUGGUCAGAGAGGAAUUGAAGAUGUUUUGAUGGCAUUUCAACUUCCAAGGGUCAUCUGAAGCCAAAAUUUCUAAUGUGUCUUUUUAGUUGGAGUAACCUUUCCCCUGCAAAUGAUAUUAUCCCCCUCCAAGACUUCAUUAGUUCCCUUUCAAUGAUUUAGUAAUCAUUGCUUUUGCUAUUGGUUAACUCAAGGUUCUAGAUUUCUUUUUGCCCUUUGGAGUUAGCCAAGAGUUACUUCUAGUAUCCUUUUGCAUCUUCUUGAUGCCUUUUAAUACAAUACAUUACUUCAUCAAAAAAAAUCCCAAAAAACCAAUCUGAGCUAAAAAACACUAUUUUGCGCGCACGCACACACACACACUCUUCCGGAAUCCCCUUCCUCCAUAGAACCCCGGCCUCACCAUUUCUGGGAUGCCCCUCCUCCUAAAUAACACUUUAAUCACUAAACACUCCCCCAGCUUUAUCCUCUUCCUCCGUGCACACAUCUAUUUGACUAUUUUGCCUUCAAAACUGCUGGCAAUGAGUAUUCAAGUUUCAGAGAGAAAUUUUAAACAGAAAGGGGGUAGGUCGUGGGUUUGGUUUUAGUUUUAGCCCUUGGAAAACAAGUUUUGGAGAAUAAUUUAUAAUAAAAAAAUAUUGUAUGUUAAGCUUAGCUUUUGAGAAUGAUUUGUUACAUGUAUGCGUUAGUUUUUUAAAAAAAUUUAAAACUAUAUUAGAUUGUGUUGUUAAUUCAAAAACCUUUACACUCAAUCUUGAAAUCCCUAACUCUAUUCCUGCUUCUGAUUUUGGUUCUUGAAAAUGUUUGGGGUGCUGUUUUAUUUUAUGAUACGAAAUUAUCAAAUCAAUAUUCAAUGGACAUUACUGUAAUAGAAGAUCAAUGAAGCUUUUCCGGCAAUGAAUCUGGGAAGAUGAAAUGAAGGUGGAUUAUGAACAAAUAUUUGGAAAUUUGUUAGGAAGUUAUAGAUGGAAACAUGAAGUGGAAGAAAGGAAUGUGGUGGAAGUUGCCGGAAACUUCGCCGGACUUCAAUGAGUGUAGAGCACCGUUGCCGUACCAUGAAAAGAAUCCAAUUUUAAGCAAAAGUGUAACUGAGAAAACCAUUUCACGCGCUAAAAAGAUAGGUGAAACACGCAUCAUGCCAGAUCAGCAAUGUGAGUUUAAAUGACACAGUUUGAGCAUACAUGAAGUGCUCAAUAGGAACCUAGUUGAGAUAAGGUGCCAAAAUGAAAUUUCAUUCCAAGUUAAAGGGUCUGUAUGUAUUUGGCCGACGGGUAAUGUUCAAACUUGACUUGGCUCUCAGUUUCUUUGUUUGGGAUUCGUAGUUGUAGGUACGCUUGUUCUUAUGAAAGGUUUGUCAUAACAUUAUAUAAAAUGACGAUAAACAUGGAUGUAAGAAUCUUAUGUGAGUAUGAUCUGCAUUUACCGUUGCGAGGGUAUGGCUUUCAUACUCCACCCACCCCCCAACCCCGCCCCCGACAAUUUUCAUUUCUUCUUCUGUCUCUCUUUCUACUCUUCUCUUCUAUACUACUUUCUGCAUUUUUUUAAAUAUUUCAACUGCAUCUACAUCUGAUUUCACUAUAUAGACACAUGUAAGAAACUUUUUAGAUCUUACACGUAAAGCCAUUUUCUUUAAUUUGUUCAUUGCUGAGAACUGCUUGAGGCGUGAAAGAACUGCAGAGUCAAGAGGCUUAUCAGGAGCCAUUGUGUCAUCCACAAUCCAUGGAUGGCCUGACAGUCACAGGAAACAAAAAUUUAAGUCAUUGUAAAAUGUAAUUUGUUUCGACAUUUUCGAAAUAUGCAACUUCUUAGGUCUCCAGUUUCACAACUACAAGGACUUACACAGAACUUCAUGGGCAGUUAACCUCCUCUUAGGAUUCCUAUCAAGAAUUUUACGUAUCAAAUCCUUGACACUAUCUGAAAUUCCAGGCCAAGGUUCAGAUUCAAGAUCUAGUUUGCCUCGCAGUAUCUGACGAAAUAUUCCCAUAUCAGUUUCUGGAAUCAGGAAAACAAUAAUAAGAAUUAUAAGAUAGUAUGGGCAUGAAGACGAACUUUAUAACAGACUAUAUUUUCUCCUAAACACACAUGGAGAUUUCAAUACCUGCCCAAAAAGGUGGAACACCACUAAGUAAUAUGUACAAGAUAACUCCUGCACUCCAUACAUCUGAUUCAUGUCCAUAGUGCUUGCAUAAAACCUCUGGAGCAACAUAGUAAGGACUUCCAACAACAUCCGAAAAUGUUUCACCUAAUCACAAUAUCAUUAAGAAACAAAACUGUUACUAUAAAAAGGUCAGGUCGGUACUCCUUCUUUUGAUGAAGUAAGUGGUGUAUUAUUGACAAAAGCAUCCAGUGGAUGCACGUAUUACAAAAUAAAAGAAGAUAUCAGCUCCUAAGAAGAGAGCAACAAAAAUCUAUCAUAAGACUAAAGAGCUGAUAAAUUCCAUAAUUGGUCAGAGUUAUACAUAGGGGAGAGUUUAACCCAACUACAAAGAGUGACCAAACAUCUAAGCAUCCAGCCAGGUCGGUACUCCUUUUUUUUUAUUUUGCACCGGGUGUCCGAGUCUCUUCGAGCCUCGACUUAUCCCGGGGGUGCACAGGCCCUCGGCAAGGAGUUUCCCGCAAGUGCACCACAGUUAAUUCAGGUUUUACCCAGUCCGAUGGCCCUCAGAAAAGUCAGGUCGGUACUCCUAAGUUAAGUAGAAGUGAAAAAUCAGCAAUUUUCAGUAGGACAAAAUGCAACACGUUUGAAUACAUUAUAUCAGCAAACGAAACUGGUAGCUAAGUGUUAGAGACAGUAAAAUAAAACAGAACCUCGCUGGAAACAAAUAGCAGUAGAAACUAAAUUAGUAAAAGUCAACUCUCAACUGAAGCUUUUCCUUCCGUAAGACCUAGAUGAAUCGCAUAACUGCAUUCAAAAGGAAAAUGAUAUAAGACAUUUUGAAUAGAUACUCAGCGAAAAAUAGUAGGACCACUGAAAAAUUGAAGUUCACAACUACAAAAGUCAUAAUCAGAUUUAAGACAUGGUUCCCAUUUUCAUGUUCGAGAAGCCUACAUAAAUAAAUUAUAUCUGGCAUCGACCAUCUUGGUAAGCUAUGUAGAAUUUAAUGAGAAGGCUAGCAGUAAAGCAACACCUAGACCCCAUUUGUGGGAUUUCACUAGGCUUCUUGUUGUUGCUAGCAAUAAAGCAACAAACAAAGAACUUCUAUAAUCCAUUUUGGGCUUACAUAAGAUACUUAUAUUGCACAUACACAAAUACUGUUACAAUGCAAACAAUAGAUCUCAACAUUUGCCGGUUAUAAAACAAAUCCUGCAGAUUCAAAAUUUCAGAAGAAACGAGAAGGGGGAUUACAAACUUCCAAAUACCUACUCUUCUGACAUUAUAUUCCAUAUAAAUUCAAAUUACUCUUUCCUAAAGAAACAAUCUUGAGCCUUAAAAAGAUAUUAGUAAUAAACUAAAAUCUUAUUGGUCAAACUAAAGUAGUAGUUCUCAAAUGGUAAUCUCUUGGUAACUGUCCACUUGAGGAGUCACUAGUGACAGUAGGUCGUCUCUCUACCCUAAGAAAAGAAGUAUUUCUCUAUCAAAUGUGUUGCCUGAAAGUACAGAGACAAGAGAGAGAACCAUAGUUUCUCAAUCUUUUGCAAACAUAAAUCAUCAUUUUACAUCUUCUCAAGAAUCAUCAUUGAUCAAGGUACUUGAUAACUGAUUCUUUUAUUAUGUUUGUGAAAAUCACCAGGUUCUAUGAUCGUGGAUUAUGCUCACUCCAUAUCGUUCAUUACAAUCUAGUAAACAAAAUUUCUUAUACCAAUACUUAAAAUUAGGACAUUCUUUUCUCUCACCAAUCUAGAGAACAUCCCAUCGCUCGGACAAACAGCGAAAUGUAAAAACACCCUAAGUAUCUUUCAAUUAGAAAAUCUAAAGGCAAUCCACUUCUCAUCCAGAAUCCAGUCACCACAUGGAAGCAGAAUUCCUUCUUUAAUAAAAUGACAAUAACAACAGUUACGCCUCAGUCCCAAACAUAUUGGGUCGGCUACAUGAAUCCUCGCUAUGGCGGAGCUAGAAUUUAGUCUACACCCUGUAUUUGUAUCAAGAAAACCACUAAAUAUGUCCAAAAACUAAAUUCAGAACCACACCUGAUGUCAUUAUCCUAGAAUUUAGAACCUAUAAAUUUCAAGUCCUGGCUCUACCACUAAUCUUCACUGACCAUAUUACUCCAUUUAAACUCAUCUCAUGCCAUUAUAAUAAAAUAUCGGAAUCGAACUACAAUGUUGAUAAUAAUAAUAUACAAAUGGAAAGAAAAAAAAAGAGGCAAACCUGGUUUGUAGAAAACAGAGAGGCCAAAAUCAGUAGCCUUGAGAGAAGCAUCCUCAUCAGAACUGAGAAACAAGAAAUUCUCAGGCUUGAGAUCUCUAUGCAUAACACCUAAUGAAUGACAAGCCUCAACAACACCAACAAUUGUUUUAAUCAAUUUAGCAGCUUCUCUUUCGCUAUAAUGUCCUUUCUCAACAAUCCUAUCAAAAAGCUCUCCACCAGCACAAAGCUCCAUAACUAUAUGCACAUAUAAUGCAUCUUCAUAAGUACCCUUUAUUCUUACCACAUUUGGGUGCUCAGAUAAAUGAUGCAUUAUUUGAAUCUCUUUCCAAACAUCCUCAUAAUCUUCUUUACAGAUCAGUUUCUUUUUGGGUAUUGUCUUACAAGCAUAAAGAUUGCCACUUGAUUUUUCUGUACAAAGAUGGGUUGUUCCAAAUUGACCUUGGCCUAACUUUUUGCCUAUUGUAUAAAGACUCUGAAGACUUUGAGUCUUGUAAGGAAGAACCCAAACAGAUGAUUUCUUGGACUCAGUUGCUGGUUUUGGUUCCAUGUUAAUGGAGAUGUGGUCCUCUGAAUCUUGAUGCAGAGAGUUUGAAGAAACUGGAAAACAAAAAGUUGGGGCUUUUUUCUCUUUAUUCUUUUUCCUCUUUGCUAUUUUACGAGAGUUUGAAGAAAUUGGAAAAGAAAAGUUGGGGCUUCUUUUUCUUUAUUCUUUUUCCUCUUUGCUAUUUUACUUAAGAUUUUACGCUUCUCUAGAUUCGCUCCAUUUUGUUUUACUGUGUGCUGCUGACUGUUUGUCUCAAAAUAUGGUACUACUAUUUGUUAGGUAGUUUAAUGGAUGCCAACGUUUACACUGAUUUCUCCUUUUUCAUUUAUCUUCAGUUUUUAUUUUCUUUUUUUGUUUCUCACUAAGGGUCCCUUUGGCCACAAAAGAAAAAUUAACUUUUUUUCCGAAAUUUCACUUUCUUCAGAAUCAAUGUUUAGUCAUAAAUUUUUUAAUUUCAUUUAAAGAUGAAUUUUAAAAUUUUUUAAAAAUUUAAAUAUUCUAAAAUAUUAUUUUUCAAAAUUUUCACUUCAAAUUAUUCAAAACUUCAAAAAUAGCCCAAAAUUAUAUUCAUGUCCAAACUCAACUCUAAUUUUCAAAUACUAUUUUUACUUUAAAUUUUUCUCUUUUUAUUUUAUUUUUUCAAAAUUUUACAAUUCUUAUGUCCAAACGCCCACUAAUUAUCCGAUAUCCAAUUUUUCCAUAAUUUUUUUUAGGGGUGAAAGAAUCUUAUCCAUCUCACCAUUAACCUUGUGGUCUCUAACUCUGAUAAGGCAUUCAAUAGAGAAAUUGGAAUUGUUGAGAAACUUUUAAGUGGGAAUUUAAAAUAGUCCUCAGUAUAAGAAUUUAGAAAGCACAUUUAAAAUCUAACAAUUUUUUUAUAAGAAAAAUUGUAACGAUAUAAUACAAGUAUUAAAAUUAAUUUUAAGAAUAGUCAUUCAAUAUGUAUUUUAUAACGAUAUAAUACAAGUAUUAAAAUCUAACAGUUCCUCUUCGCAUUUUUCUUGUUUUACUUAUGGAAAUGGGUCCACAAGUGGGUGCUUUUAUUUUUUGAUAGAUAUAUUUAAGACGGGGAUGUCGUUCACUUUUCACUAGAGAUAAUCUUGUGGUAUGUAUGUACAUGUUCAUGCAUCAAAUACAUAUUUCUGGAUGUAUGACAUAUGUUGACAAUUAAAUGAGCUGACUUUUUUAAUUGUUUUUGUGUCCAAGUAAAGCUCACUUGAUUGCUACAGGCUGUAAUAAUUAAAACUAGAGGUUCAAGUGCAAAAGCAGGCAAUUAUAUUAUAAACUUUAAGUAUCUCUCUUUUAAAAUCAAAUAAUAGUGCUAGUUCACCUUAAAUUAGUGUCACUUGACAAUAAUUACUUCGAAAAUAAAUGAAGUUUGUCUAGGAUAUUAACCUCUGUUCGAAUAAAGUAUGACUUGACUAUCAAAGCAAGUAAAAAUGAUGUGUAGUAAUCACUAAUUAAAGGUAUUUUUAAUUUUUAUCUAUUAAUUAUAAUGCUUAAUAAAAUAGUCACUAUUAAUUAGGAAAAGACUAUUUUACCCUUCCUUCAUAUGCCAAAGGCCCAAAAAAACCCACGUUUUUUUCAUUUAGAAGAGGAAUAUUUGACAGGGGGCUAAUUUCGUGUGUUCUCUGCACUCUAUCAUCCUCGCAUGCAUACAAUCUUCAGUAAAUCUUUCUCCUUCUUCAUCUUCUCCGAAUCGAUCAAUCUAACUGGUAUUUUUUUUGUAUGUAUUUUUAUUUUUCUAUAUGUGUAAUCGCGUUCAAUGCCCUGUCAAGUAUGUGUGAAAUUUCAAAAAUGAUCAUUAUAAGUUGACUCAGUGUUGGAGAUGUAGCAUAUUUUUGUGAUGCUGUUAUUCAGAAAUUUUUGGUGUUGAAAUAUGUAAUGUGUUUGUGGUUAUUGAAAAAGUAGCGUAUUUUUGUGAUGAUGUUAUUCAGAAACUUUUUACGUUGAAAUGUGUAAUGUAUUUGUGGUUGAUUCAAUAUAUUUGAUUAUGUAAGUACAUUUCAUAAAAAUAGUCGUAGAAAAUCAUAAGCUUACAGUGUUUCUGAAUUUUUAGUUAACUGUGUUCAUGAAAGAUAAGGAUCAAACGACAUUAACUUUUAAAGUUGGAAUUCAAAGUUCUAGUUAACUGUGUUUAUGAAAGAUAAGGAUCAAACGACAUUAACUUUUGAAGUUGGAACUCAAAGUUAAGGAGUGAGUGUACUUAACUUUUGAACUUGAAACUUGAAGUUAAGGACUAAGUAUCCUUAACUUUGGAAUUUGAAAGUUGAAGUUCAGGACCAAAUGUCCUUAACUUUUCAAGUUGAAACUAUAAGUUAAGGACUGUUUGUUCUUAACUUUUUAACUUGAAACUUGAAGUUAAGGACACAAUGUCCUUACCUUUUGAAUUUGAAACUAUAAGUUAAGGCCUGCCUAUUCUUACCUCUUUAACUUGUAAAUCUAAGUUAAGGACUAAGUGCCAUUUACUUUUGAACUUGGAAUUCAAAGUUAAGGACUGCAUGUCCUUAACUUUUAAACUUGAAACUCAAGUGUCCUUUGCUUUUGAACUUGGAAUUCAAAGUUAAGGACUGCAUGUCCUUAACAUUAAACUUAAAACUUGAAGUUAUGGACCAAGUGUCCUUAACUUUUGAACUACGAAUUUGAAGUUCAGGACCUACUGUCCUUAACUUUUUAACUUUAAACUUUAAGUUACGGACUGCUUGUCCUUAACUUUUUUACGUGAAACUUGAAGUUAAGGACCAAGUCCCUCCAACAAACUAUAUGUCCUAAUCUUUGUUUUCUUUUUCCUUAUUUGUAGUGCGAUAAUGGAAGGAGAUCGUGUGUUCAAGUAUGAUGAUUGGCGUAAUUUUAUAGUGUUGGAAAGGAGAUUUAAAAUAUAAGGAAACAACUAAAAGUUUUUUGUCAAACAGGCAGUGGAAGAAGUUGAGGGAUGGUAUUUUCGGCAACUUCUUCCGAUUACAAAGUGUGAAGUUCUGUGGUAAAAUUAUUCAUUGUAUAUUGCUUUCAGAAUUGUGAAUAAUGACCCUGAUUCAAUGAAAUUCAAGGUAUUUGACCGUGAAAUUAAGUUUACACGUAACGCAUUUCAUCUAUUUACUGGUUUAAAGUGUUAUUCCUCAUUGGACAUCAAAGGUUUACAUGAGAAAAAGAAUAGGCUUUCGAAAGUCUAUUUCCCCGGAAAGGAUAGAAUUAAGUUGGGUGAUUUGUUUAAUUUUAUUUCUAGUCACCCACAUGGUACAACUUCAUUAUUUGUAGGCAGCGAUGAUAAUGCUGUGAAGUUGGCAACAAUUUAUUUUGUUGAAUCUGUUUUGAUGGGCAAGCGGAAGAAUAGGAAUGUGCCCGAGCAGAUAAUGAAAGUUGUCGACGAUGACGUACUCUGCUCUUCUUUCAACUGGGACUCUCUUUCUUAUGACACGCUAUUAAAAUCAUUGAAGAGUUGCUUGAAGCCGAAUGAGAAUAAGAUUGAGAAAGAUAAAGACAAGGAUAGCUACAAUAUACUUGGCUUUCCUUUUGCCUUUUGUGUUUGGAUUAUGGAAGUAAUUCCUAUUUUCCAGGAAAAAUAAUUUGUGAACUUCCAAGAAUCUGGUUAUCCUCGGAUGUUAUGUUAUUCAGAAAUAAAAUCUCCACAGAUUGAUUCUUUGUAAAACAUACUUCCAUAAUGAUAAUGUACGUUAAUGUAAGUUAAUGUAAUUACUAGCUAUUUUUUUGUUUAUUUGUUUUAGUUCUGAAAACUUAGGUUUACUUUUUGUCAUAUAAUAGUUGUAUAAGUUGAUCGAGGUGUUAUCAUUUAUUCCUGUUGAAGAAGAAGAUACAGAGACUCUUAGUGUGAGGAGCCAAUUUCACAAGAUCAAAGCUCAAGACCUUCUUCCACACAAUUUAAUGAACUCAUACUUAAGGAAUUUGUUAGAGUAUGUCUUUCUGCCUUUGAAUAGCAUUAGUUUUUUAUUUGAUUAUUUUUUGUUUACCAUACAUUUUUAUGUUUUUUGAUUCAUAGAUUAUCAUAGAGUUUUAAGAAGAAUCUGUAAGUUGAAGUUGCCAGAAUAAAUCAGAAAAUAGCUGUAGCAGAAAAAAAAAUAUUAGAAUCAAAUCAUGGUAAUAUGAUUAAUUUCAGUCAGUCCAAGUUCAGGACUAUGUGCCCUUAACUUUUGGACUUAAAAGUAUAAGUUAAGGACUUCAUGUCCUUAACUUUUGAACUUGGAAUUCAAAGUUAAAGACUGCAUGUCCUUUACUUUUUAACCUGUAAUUGAAACUUAAGGACUGUUUGUCCUUAACUUUUGAACUUGGAAUUCAAACUUAAGAACUGCGUGUCCUUAACUUUUGAACCUUCAAGUCAAACUUAAGGACUCAUGACCUUAACUUUUUAACCUGUAAUUUAAACUUAAGGACUGCAUGUCCUUAAGUUUUUAACUUAAAACUAUAAGUUAAGGACUACUUGUCCUUAACUUUUUAACUUGGAAUUCAAAGUUAAGGACUGCCUAUCCUUAACUUUUUAACCUGUAAUUGUACCUUAAGGACUACCUGUCCUUAACUUUUGAACCUUCAAGUAAGACUUAAGGACUUAUGUCCUCAACUUUUCAACCUGUUAUUCAAACUUAAGGAUUGUCUAUCCUUAACUUUCGAAGUUGUCCUUAACUUGCUAACUUAGUUUCUUUCUCAGGAUUUAAAGAAAACUCUAGGAUCAAAGCUUGAUACUUUGUUGAAGAUUUAUGGGAAAGAUGAUGAAAGGAACAUAGAGAGAGAAACUAGUGUUCCAAUUACUAAACAUGGAGUUGAUGAUAAUUGUCGUGCGUAUGGGAAAGUUGAUGACGGGAACAUAGAGACAGUAUCUAGUGUUCCAAUUAGAAAAGAUGGAGUUGAAGAAGAUACAGAGCCUACUAUUACAAUCAAUAAAGAUGCAGGCGGUGAUAAACGUGAUGAUAUGGAUGUGCAUGCAGAAGUUCAGUAUGAAAGCGAUUUUAGAGAUGUACAUCUAAAUGAUGAAACUGAGAACUGAUAUUGGGAAAGGUUAGAUAUAGAUUUUGAAUUUUUUUUCGUUUAAAUUUAUAUUCAAUAGAGAAAUACAUAUGAAUUUUUGAGUGAUUACAAAUAUUUGUAGAAUCUAUUGAUGGGGUGGAAUUUGAAGAUGUAGGAGAAUGUCAAGACCAGGAAAAUUCAAAAGAAAAAGGAGAAACAGAAAAAAUUUAUAAAUGUGGAUUGCAAGCUCAGGAGGAUUUAGCAAGUCCAUUGGGAACAAGUGUCAUCGAGAUUCUAUGCAAAUGCUUAGAAAGAGCAUAUGAUCUUUCUACACCUCUGUCAUACAAAAAAAAUUUGAAUUUCAAAUUUGUAUCAAUCAAGGUUUGAUAAAAUUUUCAUUAUAUAUUGUAUGUUAGUUUUAGUGAAUUAUUGGAAUGGCAUUUCUUUUGAAGCUGCAAGGGAACAAGCUGGAGUGGAGUAUCAAGAAAAAAGUGGAAUACAAUCUCAAGAUGUAGAAAAUACUGAAGGAAUAAGCAGAAGUGAAAUUGGUUCCAAAUGCAUAGAUGCAACAUGUGAUCUCUCUAGACCUCCCUCUCUUAACGAUAAUAUUGGAACCGAAGAAAAUGCUAGUGAAGAUAAUGAUAUAAUUGGGAUGAUUUUGACUAUUCAAAUAGAUAAACAAUGUUUUAUUUUAUUUUAUAUAUGUUUGUUUUAUUCAAAGAUUAUUAACAAGUACUAAUUAUGUUACUCUUGUAAAUAUUUUUGCAGAAUUUUGUGAACAAGAAACUGAAGCACAGGGUGAACAAUUGCAAGAUGAAGAAAAUGUGCAAUUGGAAGAAAAAGAAAAUGAUGCAAGUAAUAUCUUAGUUGAAUUGUCUCUUGAAAAAAACAUAAAAAGGUAGUGUGCAAAAUAUAGGUACUGAUUGUGUCCUAAAUAUUAUAUUCAUAUUGAAAUUUUGUCUCUUCAUUUGACGAGUUGCAGCAAUAUAUAUAUAUACACACACACAUAUCAUUGCUGGCAGAGGGCAACAAUGAUGAAGUUGUUAACAAAUAUACGAGGAAAACAAAGAGAGAUAGUAUUGGUUAUGAUGGUCCGUCAUUUUCCAUUAUUUCUUAUACUCCUCCAAGUACACAAAUGAGCAAUUGUGGGGCUUUGACUAUGGAGGUUGAAGGAAAUAUUGAAGAAGAAUUUGGUCGAGGUAAAAGGAAUAAGAAACUAAGUUGGCAGUUGAAAUCUCCUUUUGAUCAGGAAAGAAAAGCGUGAACUUCGAUGCCAGAUGAUCAAAAUACUCCGAAGAGUUCAGGCUGGAUAAAAGCAACAUAUACUUGUAGGUGUAUUUUUCAUUGUGCCACAGAAUAUGCAAAAUUAUGAAGAAAUUCAUUGCGUGGUUGCGCAAGGAGAAAAGGAGAGGUCGCAAAAAAGAGUAAGUCCCUUAACGUAUUUCACUAAGUCCUUAACAUCUGUAAUUGUAAGACUAAUUUUAGGACUAAGUCUCCUAAAAUUUUGACGUUGUAAGUCAAAAUUGAGGACCAUGUGUCCUAAAUAAUCGAAUUUGUAAUUCAAAGUUAAGGACUGCCUGUCCUUAACUUUUGAACCUUCAAGUGAAAUUUAAGGCCUGUCUGUCCUUAAGUUUUGAACUGUAAGGACUGCAUGUCCUUAACUUUUGAACCUUUAAGUCAAACUUAAGGACUGUCUGUACUUAAGUUUUGAACUUGGAAUUCAAAGUUUAGGACAAAUAGACCUUAAGUUUUGAACUUGAAACUAUAAGUUAAGGACUUCCUGUCUUUAACUUUUGAACUUGAUACCUAAAGUUAAAGACAGACAGUCCUUAAGUUUUGAACUUGAAACUUAAACUUUAGGACCAAGAGUCCUUAGCUUUUGAACUUCUAAUUCAAACUUAAGGACUGCAUGUCCCUAGCUUUUGAACUUGGAAUUCAAAGUUAAGGAAAGAUAAUCCUUAAGUUUUGAACUUGAAACUAUAAGUUAAGGACCUCAUGUCCUCAACUUUUGAACUUGAUACUCAAAGUAAAGGACAGACAAUCUUUAAGCUUUGAACUUGAAACUCAAACUUUAUGACCAAUUGUCCUUAGAUUUUGAACUUCUAAUUCAAAUGUAAGGACUACCUGCCCUUAAUUUUUCAACAUGAAAAGGCUAGUUCAAGACUAAAUUCUAACUUUGAUAUUUUCAAAAUUUUCAGGGGGACAAACUGAUGUCUAUGAUGAUGAUAAUGGUGUGAGGAAAAAUCCCUACAAAUUGUAUCAUCAAAAAAUCAAUAGCAAUUCUUCCUUGAGUUUUUGAUAGUAGUCUUGUACUUGAUGAUAAGGUUUGAUAAUUCACAAGGCUUUUAUUUUUAUUCUUAAUUUAUUAUUUUUUAAUUAUUUUAUGACUUAUGGAUUUAUUUUAUUUUUUGCCUUUUUAUGAAGCAUAUUGACAUUGCCCUAUAUUAUAUGAGAAAUAAGGAAUGUGAUCAUCCUUUUCGUUGCACAACUACUGAUAUUCUUUUUGAUAACUACAUGGUGCUUGUGUAUAAAGAUUUCAGUGAUGAUGCUACUGAUGACUUUUGGUGUGUUGAUGAUAAUCAGUUGUUUCUGACACCAUAUGUGUGGGGGGACAACCGUAGAUGUGGAAUUGCUUGGACAGAAGUUGACGAAAUCUUUUUUCCAUGUCGGCUUCCUUCUAGUUGUUUCUGACACCAUAAGUGUGGGGGGACAGUCAUAGAUGUGGAAUUUCUUGGACAGAAGUUGACAAAAUCUUUUUUCCAUGUCGGCUUCCUUCUGAAGAAGAUAAUGCCGUGACACACUUUCUUUUGGGGGUAUUGGACUUGAAUCAAAAAAAGAUUGAUAUAUACGAUUCCAUAUACAGUGAGUCAUAUGAGGCAAGACUGAAUCACAUGGAAAUGUAUGCACACAUGAUCCCCUACUUGCUAAAGGUCUCACAUUUUGACAAACAUCACAAGUCUUUUAGAAAUGUCUUCAAUAAAUUUGAUAUUCAAUGGCAAAGAUCACCACGCCAAAUUUGAUCGUACAUGUUGUUAUUUGUUAUACUAUUUAUAUGUACUUUAGAUUUAUUGUUUAAUUCAUUGCAUAUCUUACAUUUCUCUUAGGACUGAUUAUGGUGCAUUCUUGAUCAAAUAUUUUGAGUUGCUGAUGAUUGGAAAGGAUGUGGAGCAAUUCAAAUCCGAAGACAUAAAAGACUUUAGAAAAGAACUUGUUGCAAAUAACUUGGGCACAUGGUGAAUGAUCUGGUUAUGAUACUCGACCAGAAAAUAUUGGUGAUGAUUAUGAGAGUGAAAAUGAAACCUGUUGUCCAAAGGAGUUGUAGUUUAGUUUUUAAAAAGUUAGUUGUGGAUGAUCUUUUGCAUAAAAUUGUUGUAAAGGAUAGAUGUGAUUCUGCAAGUUUUGAAAACUUCUGAAAUAUUUUGUAAAUUCUAAAAAAGGCACUUAUAUUUUGUUGGCAUAGCGUAAUUUGUUGUCACAGCUAUGCAAAAUUACCAUUUUAGAAGUUAUAUCAAGCAAUCAUAUUAUUAAUUUCUUUGGUUCUCUCAAGUGUUGAUUUGUCCAUUGAGUUUGUUAGUAUUAGUUCAUGACUAAGUGUAAGUGNNNNNNNNNNNNNNNNNNNNNNNNNNNNNNNNNNNNNNNNNNNNNNNNNNNNNNNNNNNNNNNNNNNNNNNNNNNNNUAAAUUCAAAGUUAAGGAUCAAAUGUCCUUAACUUUUGAACUUGAAACACAAAUUUAAGGACUUUCUUUCCUGAUCUUUUGAAUGUGUAAUUCAAACUUAAGGACUGGAUAUCCUUAACUUUUGAACCUGUAUUUCAAACUUAAGGACUCGUGUCCUUAACCUUUGAACUUUGAACUCAAAGUUAAGGACUGCAUGCCCUUAAUUUUUGAACGUAUAAUUCAAACUUAAGGACUGCCUGUCCAUAGCUUUUUAACCAUCAAGUCAAACUUAAGGACCGUUAUCCUUAAAUUUUGAACUUAGAACUCAAAGUUAAGGACAGACAGUCCUUAAGUUUUAAACUUGAAACUAUAAGUUAAGGACUUCUAGUCCUUAACUUUUAAUCUUUGAAAUCAAAGUUAAGACAGGAGUCCUUAAGUUUUCAACUUUGAACUAUAAGUUAAGGACUUCAUGUGCAUAACUUUUUAACCAGCAAGUCAAACCCAAGGACUGUUGUCCUUAACUUUUGAACUUAAAGCUCAAAGUUAAGGACAGACAAUCCUUAAAUUUAGACUUGAAACAAUAUGUUAAGGACUUCCUGUCCUUAACUUUAAAUCUUUGAAAAGAAAGUUAAAGACAGACUGUCCUUAAGUUUUGAAAUUUCAAGUCGAACUUACGGACUCCUGUCAUUAACUUUUAAUCUUUGAACUUAAAAGAAACAAAAACAAGGUAAGAAGAAAGAAAUUUUGAAAAUUCAGACAUCUGCUCAAUAGAAUAAUCUAAAUGAAUCCAAUUUAUAGAAAAAACUAAAAAGAGUCGAUAAACAUAAGUGGAUAUAUUUACUCUUCUCUAUGCUUUCUUGAAAAUGGAUGGAGAGCCGGAGAAUAUAUACCAGAUGUUCUAUUAUGGCCAAUUCUUCUGCAACGACCAUAUUUGAAUGUUAUGUUUUAUGACUCGGUAGCAGGAGUAUGCCUUUUCUUUUGCCUUCUACCUGGCGUCACUUUAAAAUUUGGAGGUUUAACAAUUUGUGACUUAACAAUCUCCAGUACAAUCAAAGAAUCAGUAUGUCCUACAGGAUGUAUUUGUCUUUCAUAUGUUUUCAGCCAAGAUUCCUUUAAGUACCAAUGCGAACAAAAGUUGGACUUCUUGAUGCUUCUCUUCUCGAUAGCUGAAACUGCAUGUAUGCAUGGUAAUUCAUCAAAUUGAAACUGAAAACAAUCACGUGUUCUUUUGUUGAGGUCCACCAAGAAAGUUAUUCCUUCUUCUUCAACUCUAGAACGCAAUGAAUCAACAGGGAAGACCUUUAAUGUUGAAAAAUUGUAAGUUAGUACAUUAUGUUAAAUAAUAUCAAAAUCAGAAGAUAAAAAUAAAACAUAAUACUUGCAUUCAAAUUAAAUGCUAAAUCUAUUCUUUUCUUCAAUUGCUCCUCUACCCAACAAGAAACAUCAUAAAUGUUCAUUCUGCUUUGUUUCUUCUUUCAUAAAACCAAUGUUGUAGCUUCCCUUGAAUGAAAUCUAUCAUUCUUAAUAUAGGCAGCUCCCUUGCUUCUAAUAUGACAGAAUUCAUUGACUCAACUAUGUUUGUUGUGAGCAUGUCAUAUCUUUGUCGUGGACUACAAGAACGUGCCCAUCUUUCCUGUGGUUCUUCCAUCAAGUAGUCAUAAGUCUUCUUAUCUACUUUUGCUAUAUCUGACAUUUAUAGGUCAAAUUCUUUGGGCAUGUAUACUCUUGCAGCACUUUGAAAAUGUAUGACCUCACUUUUCAUCUUCCUUCGCUUUAGGUUGUGCUCCAAAUAAUAGAUGCAAAUCCCAUGAUGGCUUUCAAGAUAUGCCUUUGCAAUGCCAUUUGCAAUAGCUUGAUGCCUAUCUAAUAAAAAAAAAUUAAAUUCUCACCGUUCCCAUUUACAUUCUGAAGCUGACUAAAGUACCACUCAUAGGAAUUGUUAUUUUCAUAUUCUGCUAUUCCAAAGGCUAGUCGGAAAAUUUGGUUAGUUGCAUCCUUUGAAACUGAAAUCAUUAAAACACCACGAAAUUUUGACUUCAAAAAAGUUGCAUCAAUAAUAAUCACUGGUCUACAAUGAUUCCAACCAGAUAUUGAUGAUCCAUAUGCAUCAAACAUAUAAAGAAACAUGAAAAUACAAUAUAAAACAAGGUUAACAGAAGUUAAGGACAUGUAGUCCUGAACUUCAGAUUACAAGGUUAAAAGUUAAGGACAGUCAGUCCGUAACUUAGAGUUACAAGUUAUAAAGUUAAGGAAAUGCGGUUCUUAACUUUGAUUUCAAAGUUCAAAACUUAAGGACAUUCCUUAACUUUGAAUUACAAGUUCAAAAGUUAAGGACAGCCAGUCCUGAACUUCUUGUUACAACUCAAAAGCUAACAAGGUUAAAGACAACAUGUCAUAAAUUUUAUAAAACGUACUAAUAAACAUUUUUUGAUUGUUUACAUGUUGUUGUCGUCUAUCUUUAUGUUAGUAUAAGUUCCCAGGUUUUUACUUGUCAUCAUAUACAAGUAUGAAGACAAUAAUUUAUAAUUCUCUUCGGGAGUUCCUCUUAUUAAAGCGGAAGCAUGUUGAAUAGCACGCCACGCCUUGUGGUAUCCAAUGUCUAGUCCAUGCAAUAUUUGCAUCUCUGCCAUGACAAAAGCUGGUGUAACUUCAAACCAUGGGUCCCGAAGAUUGUCGAUAAUGUAAGCACUAAUCAACUUUGAAGUAGCAUGCCUUUGAUCUGCUUUCAUUGUGUUAACAAAGCAGUCAUACUUUUUCUCAAUCUUUACUAUCUUGAACAGUAUUAAGUCUUUGAUUCUGAAAGCACGCACACACCAACAACACCUAUCAUCAUUGCAUUUCAACAAAUAUCUUGUUGAUCUUGAUCUAACAACCUUGAAUUCAAAUGUCCUUUGAUUGCUAUAUUGGGAAAACAAUUAAUUAUACUCUUCUUCUUGUCAAAUACUGAUCCGACUUUUAUUUCUUCCAACGAAGCAUUUUCUCUUAAUAUCGUAGUUGGGGAUUCUUUUUGUUUAAAAUUUGAUAUUCGUCUAGUUAGUUGAGUAGAGGUUUUUUCAGCAACUUCUUGGAUUACUGGUGCACUCUCUAAGACUUGAAUACCCAAAGCUUGUUCGUUGUUAAUCUCUAUAAUGCUCUGUCCUUCUACUUGAAUAGAAUCAAAUGUUUGAAGCACCUUUUCAGUUAUUGGUUGAGCUUCAUCCACAUCUAUUUCCCUUAUUUGUUGACAUGUGUUUGAAGCACCUCUUCAACCAUAUCUAUUUCUAUUAUCUGUUAGCAUUUGUUUUGAUUGUCAUGUUGAGUUUCUGUGUUGACAUGUUCAUUGCUUGUUUAUCCAAAAACUCUUUCUGAAAUAUGAACAAUGAAACGAUAGCCCUUGAAGAGUGAAUGAGUUUUUAGUAACUCUAUACAUGUGUGAAGAUCUAAAUCUUUGGAUACAAGCAUUACUUUGCUUGUUCCAAGGUUGAUAUCAAACCAUAUCACUGCUUCAAACUUUUUUCUCUAUCCAAUUCGUACAAGCAUUCCUUUACUUGUUCCAAGGUUAAUAUCAAACCAUAUCACUGCUUUAAACUUGUGUCUAUCCAAUUCAAUAAUGAAAUCUUCAAACCGAAUUGACUUAGGUACUAGAACAAGCUUUGUUUGAUUAUCAAGAUAUCUAUAGUCUUCAGUCCAUCUACCAUUAAAAGCAACUAUAGUGCAUAUUGUUUCCAUCCUGCAAGUCAAGAUAAUGGGAAACUCAUGACAUAUUUUAUAAAGCAAUACUUGUAUAAUUAAGAACUAGUACUAUAAGUUCAAGACCAAGUUAAGGACAAAGUGUCCUUAAUAUUUUAACUUUGAAUUCAAAGUUAAGGACUGCCUACCUUUAACUUUUGAACAUGGAAUUCAAACUUAAGGACGGUUGUCCUUAACUUUUGAACUUGGAAUUCAAACAUAAGGACAACAUGUCCUUAACUUUUGAAUCUUCAAGACAAACUUAAUGACUCAUGCCCUUAACUUUUCAACCUGUAAUUCAAACUUAAGGACUUCAUGUCCUUAAUGUUUGAACCUGCAAGUCAAACUUAAGGACUUGAUGUCCUUAACUUUUGAACCUGCAAGUAAAACUUAAGGGCUUCAUGUCCUUAAUUUUUGAACUCCAAGUCAAACUUAAGGGCUCAUGUCCUUAACUUUUCAAUCUGUAAUUCAAACUUAAGGAAUGUUUUAACUAAUAAGUGUAAGUUAAGGACCAAAUGUCCUUAACUUUUUCAAUUUGAAACUCAAACUUCAGAACUUAGUGUCAUUUACUUUUUGAAAAUAAUUUGCAAAACUAUGACAGUAUGUCCUUAAUAUACAGAAGAACAUCAACAAAGUUAAGGACAUUGUGUCCUAUGUCCUUAACUUUUUCAAAAUAAUUUGCAAAACUAUGACAAAUGUCCUUAAUAUACAAAAGACCAUCAACAAAGUUAAGGAUAUUGUGUCCUCAACUUUUUCAAUUCAAUUUGCAAAAUGAGGACACUAUGUCCUUAAUAUUAUGUGCUCAAUUUUUAUAGAAUUAUCUUAGGAGGCGAUGUCCUUAACUUUAUCAAUCCAGAAAUUCAAAAUAAAAAAUCAAAUUUCUACUUACUGUAUAAAAAUCAAUAGAAAUCAGAAAGAGUAUAGCUAUGGUCAAAAAAAAUCAAAUAUCUACUUACUGUAUAAAAAUCAAUAGAAAUCGGAAAGAGUAUAACUAUGCCGAAAUAAACACCAAUAGGAACACAUAAAAGUAUAACUUACUGUAAAUAUAUAUCGAUUUUUGGAUGAGAAUGUUGAAUUUAAAUCAGAAGAGAAUUUUCUUCAAUUUCGACAAUCACAGUGAAGUAUUGUUGCGUUGCUGCUGCGACUGUGUUGUUGUUGCUCGUUAUAGCGUAGGUAUACGUUAUAGCAGAAGGUUACUUUUGUCCAGUCAAGUAUAAGUUUAUUAAACUAGUGACUAAAAACUAAAGACAUUUAAAACAGUAUCUUUAAAAUAAGGACAUGUGCUGUUAGUGGCUAUUUGUGCACAUCCGCCUCAAAACAAAUUUGGAUAGAACUAAUAACCGGGUCUCAAAGAAGUAACCAUUAAGCUUAUAAAUGUGUUCAAUAAUGAGAGGCAAAGUGUACUAGGAACUACUUUUUUGACUGAUUGGCUGAACAUAUAAUAGAACUGAUAGAUCAAUGUGGGCAAAGGCCAUUGUUGGUUCUUUUUAAUCUAAUACAAUGUUGAUUCUGGUUGGCUCAUGUAUAUAAUUUGGUAUACUAAUAUGAAUUCUUUGUUUAUGAAACAGGACUAUUUUCCAUAUUUUGACUGAAUGAAAUUGCUUCAUGUAUCAAUUUACCAAAGCAGGUUGCAUCACUAAUGGAAUAAUUCAGAAUAUUUUGCGUUGCGAACCUCUUCAUCUUACCUUUACAGGAUUGGAAAGCAGUGUAUAAACAUGCUUUUCUUGCAUAUAAUAAGUUAAUAACCAUUGAAAUUGUUUUUGUUUUUCCUUUCCUUCACUGAGCCGAGGGUCGAUUGGAAGCAACCUCUCUGCCCUUUCGGGUAGGGGUAAGGCCGUCUACAUAUUACCCUCCCCAUACCCCACCUUGUGGGACUAUACGUGGUAGUUGUUGUUGUUGUUGUUGUAUGUGAGCCCGUCUACAUAUUACCCUCCCCAGACCCCANNNNNNNNNNNNNNNNNNNNNNNNNNNNNNNNNNNNNNNNNNNNNNNNNNNNNNNNNNNCAUAUUCCCCUCCCCAGACCCCACUUUGUGGGACUAUACUGGGUAGUUGUUGUUGUUGUUGUUUUAUCGUCGGACAACCGAGAAAGGCAAAUAAAUAUUACUACAAACAGAAGGUUACAAUUGCUGCAGCCAGUCAAACAAAAAAAAACCUGGUGUUUUUCAUCUUUAUUGUAUAAGAAAGAAAGUAAAACGAUUUUUUCGGUCCAUCGAAAAACACAAAUUGCAGCUGAAAUAAUGCUUAUCACUAUUCUUUCCUCUGUCAAUUCCUGUAGUAAUUACAUCUCCAGUUACCGUCCCCAGGCAGCUUCUUUAAUUGUCAGAUACCUUAAAAAAUGUGUAUGAUAGGAUUAUAUUGUUGAUACCAUCCAUUUUGGGGUCGGCUUCAAACUCAGGAUCAAUGUAAAAGAAAACCUACAAAUGCAAGUUGAUUAGUGUGUUAAUUUGUAUGAACACAUGGAUUUGGAAGGAGUAAUAAUCUUCAGGCAACGAUAGUUGAUGGGUUACUUACAGGCAUGUCAAUCUGCUCCCCAGGAAGCAAUUUCUGUUCCUCAAAGCAAAAACACUGAAUUUUAUUGAAAUACACAGCAGCCUGAAGAGAGAAAGAUUAUGUUUCCCGUUAGAAACUUUGAUGUUAAAGUGCCUAUAUGGAUACAUAGUACUGCACUGCACCUACUUAUCAAAAAAAUAACUUCAUUGCACCAUGUCGCACUAAAGAAAAUCAAACAGUAUUGUGCCAACGGAUAGUGGAAGCAACUAGAUUUAAAUAAACUCCUUUCUAAAAUAGCUUAAACAUUUUGCAAACAGCGAGUUGAUUGUUAAAAUGAAAUUACAGAAAAGUAAGUGACAUUACAUUCCUCCUUAGACGUGCAACCAAUACCAAAAGGAUUUUCCAUAUAGUCAUAUACUGACUAGAAAAGGAGAUAUCAUGAGACUAAAACCUAGAUAGAAGAGUAGGUUAAAGGAAGUAUAGGCACCUUAAUGAUCAAGGUCUUUCAUUGUUGGAGACAUUAUUAAGUAAAGAAAUUAUCCUUAUUAAAAAAAUAAUUAAGUAAAGAAACGCUUAUUCUCUCUAACAGAGUAAACUUUUAAAUGAGUUGUCACUUAUUGCAUGAUAUCAAAGCAGGCAAGACGUCCUGCAUUCAAAUUUCACCGCCAUCCAAAAACCAAAUAGAAUUUUCAUGUGCUUGGCCCGAUGAGAAAGAAUAAGGCUCACUCGUGAGGCAACAUAAGAUAUAAUUAAGUAAAGAAAAGUGUACCCUCUCUAAUAGCAGAAAUUUUCAGAUGAGGUGGUCAAACAUUUCAAAUUUACCAUAUAAUACAUAAACAUAAGACAAGAGGGGGUUGCUCUAAUGGUAAGCAACCCCCACUUCCAACCGAGAGGUUGUGAGUUAGAGUCUCCCCAAGAGCAAGGUGGNNNNNNNNNNNNNNNNNNNNNNNNNNNNNNNNNNNNNNNNNNNNNNNNNNNNNNNNNNNNNNNNGGAUUGCUCUGAUGGUAAGCAACCUCCACUUCCAACCGAGAGAUUGUGAGUUCGAAUCUCCCCAAGAGCAAGGUGGGAAGUUCUUGGAGGGAGGGAUGUCGGGGUUCUAUUUGGAAACAGCCUCUCUACCCACGGGUAGGGGUAAGGUCUGCGUACACACUACCCUCCCCAGACCCCACUAAGUGGGAUUAUACUGGGUUGUUGUUGUUGUUGUUGUAAUGAUGAGCCUUCACAAGCUUACUUAUCUGUUUCAAUUCCUAACUGGGACUUCCAGUAGUAAGAGCUUCGACACAUUCCUUCAGCUCUUUAGUUAGCUAAUUCGAGCGAAUCACUCUCUUUACUUCACUAAAAAAAAUAGCUAAAGGUCUUUGAAUUUUUUUUUACACAAAAAAAGAAACACCCAAAGGAGAUAAAGCUCCAGGGCCUGACAGUUUGAAUAUGGCCUUUUCUCAGAGUUGCCAUAUACUAAGGGAGAACAUCUUCAAAACUUUGGUGAAAUUUUACCAUGAAGAAAAAAUUGGAGAAAAGCUCUAAUGCUACAUUUAUUACUCUAAUCCCUAAGAAGAAAGGAGCUCUGGAAAGUGGAAACCAAGGAUUUCAGACCUAUUAGCUUGUUGAGCAACAUCUAUAAAUUAUCUAUAAAGCGCUCACUGAGAGAUCAAAGCUGGUUAUCCAGAAACUUGUGACUAGCAACCAAAUGCAUUCAUCAACGGGAAGUUGCUGGCUGACGCAGUCUUGGUUGGCAGUGAUCGUGUGACGACCCAAAGGGUCAUCACUUGUUUUUUUACUCAUUCCGUGUCUCCGAGGCCCUGAAAACCUCAUUGAGGGUCGCCUCAAUCUGCGUGCGCAGUCUGGGCACGUAACCGGAAAGCUUAAAUAUGAAUUCUGUGUGAAAAAUGAUGAAUUUUGAUAUUAAUAUGAUGAAAGUUGACUCUGGUCAAUAUUUUGGGUAAACGGACCAGAACCCGUGAUUUGACGGCCCCGAAGGGUCCGCAGGAAAAUAUGGGACAUGGGCAUAUUCCCGGAAUCGAAUUCCGAGGUCCCACGUCCGAGAAACGAAUUUUUAUAAGGAAUUGUUUCCUGAAAAUAACUAAAGAAAUUGGAAAAAUGAAAUUGAUUAAAAGACUGUGGUAUCGAGCUCGUAUUUUGGUUCCGACGCCCGAUACAAGUCUCACAUGUGAUCUAAGCACUUUCUGUAAAGUUUGGUUAAAAACGGACGUCAUUUGACGUAUUUCAGACUUAAGAUGGAAAAUUUGUGUUUCAUGAAAGAAUUGAAAGAAAUCUUAAGCUUUGGGGCUUGAUUCUAUAUAUAUGAUGUUAUUUUGGCGAUUUGAUCGCACGAGUUAGUCCGUAUGAUGUUUUUGAAGUAGUGUGUACCGUAAGCCUUGGGGCUUGAUUCCAUGUAUAUGAUGUUAUUUUGGCGAUUUGAUCGCAUGAGUUAGUCCCUAUGAUGUUUUUGAAGUGGUGUGUAUGUUAGGUUUGGAGCCUUGAGGGCUCGGGUGAGUUUCGAGCAGAUUCCAGGAGGUCUUAGACUUAAAACACCAGAUAUUUCAGGCAGGGAAAAAGCUGCAAGCUUCAGCGCGGUCGCGUCUGCCUUAGACGCGGCCCGCGGUUGUCCUCGCGCGGCCCGCGCUGCAAUCUCCAGAGAACCAGCAACCUUCAUUCCACCAGUGCGGCCGCCUGAGCGCGGGCCGCGGUGGAAGCCGUGCGGCCGCAAUCGUCUAUGUGCGGCCCGCGUGGCAAGCUUCAGAGAACCAACAAGUCUUCAUCCCACCAGCGCGGCCGCGGUCCUUUUUGCGCGGUUCGCGCUGGGCGCGUCUGAAAGUAUAAAUACACGGGAUUUUCAGUUAUUUCUUACUUUUCAAAAACCCAAAACAUAGGAGGCGAUUUUUCAAGCAAUUCUUCUUCUUCAAAACGUUUGGUAAGUGAUUUCUAAAUUAUUUUCUUCACUCCUUAACAUCUUUUAACAUGAUUUCAACUUCAAAUCAAGAUUUUAAUGGGAAAAUUUGGGAAUUUCGGGUAGAACCUAAGUUUUCUAAAAUUGGGGGUUUUGGACCCCAAUUCGAGGUCUGAUUUCAAAAUAAAUCAAUAUUUGAGUUCAUGGGGAUGGGUAAACGAGUUUUGGUUCGAACCUCGGGUUUUGACCAUGCAGGCCCGGGGGCAUUUUUGGAAUUUUUGGGAAAAACUUUUGAAAACCCAUUUUUAUGCAUUCAAAUUGUUCCACUUAGCAUUUGUUGAUGUCUUUAAGUAAUUUGUGACUAGAUUCAAGCGAAUUGGUGAAGGAAUAGAGGGGUAAAGCUGUAAUUGAGGCUUGAGUGAGUUCAAGAAAUCGAGGUAAGUAUCCGGUCUAACCUUAGCUUGAGGGAAUAGGAGUUGAGUCUUGUUUGUCACUUGUUAAUUGUCGAGUAGGGUGUAUAGGCAUUGUGACGAAUAUCUAUACAUCGGUGUCUAGCAUGACCAUGAGUCUUUAAAUGUGAUUAUCAUGACUUAGUUGUGAAUUCCAUGUUAAAUUGAGGAUUUCUAUAUAUUGUAAAGAACAUGUGAAAAAUAUUAUGAUAAUUUGAUUUUGUGGAGCAUUGGCUCGGUCGUGAUAUGAAUUGAGAAGGUAUAUGGGAUUAUGAAUUCUUUGGAGCAUUGGCUCACAUGAUAAAGUGAGAUAUGAGGUAAGAAAUGAAAGAAAGCUUACGAGUUAGCGGUUAUUCGGUUAUUCCCUUGCCGGGAUGUUUUGUUGUUUGAUUGUUGUUUUUGUUCCCUUGUCGGGGUUCCUAUUUUUGUUUGUCUAUUCCCUCGCCCCAUUGUUGUGAUUGUUGCUUGGGUGAGGAAGAGUGAUAAAGCACGAAGGGUGAUGCCGUGCACGUUCGUGAUAUGAAUACUAAUGCACGAAGGAACAUUCCGUGCCAUGAUAUGAAUACUAAUGCACGAAGGAACAUUCGGUGCCAUAAUAUGGUUACUAAUGCACGAAGGAACAUUACGUGCCAUGAUAGGAGUGUUUACGCACGAAGGAUCAUUUGGUGCCAUCAUUUUUGUGAGGUAAAGCACGAAGGGUGAUGCCGUGUAUUUUGUAUGAUUGAUUUGGUGAGAAUGAGAGUAAAAGCACGAAGGUAGUGCCGUGCAACUGUUGAUUUUCUUAUUCUCGUUGAUAUUUAAGUUGUACGGUUUCAUUCCUUAUUUAUUGAUUGUAGUGUCUGCACUGUAAUAGCCCCACAACAUGCUCCCCUCCCUGUUUUCUUUUGACUGGUUAAAUUCUUUGUGAUGUACUCUAUGCAUACAUAUAUAUUGAACUGCACAUGUUUGAUUGGUAGUUCGGUCCUAGCCUCGUCACUACUUCGCCGGGGUUAGGCCAGGCACUUACCAGCACAUGGGAUCGGUUGUGUUGAUACUACACUUCUGUGCUUAUUUGCAUAGAUCAGAGAGUUGGAGCAGCAGUAGGUUGGGAGCAGGCCUUCAGUCCAGAGUGAGAUACCGAGGUAGCCUUGCAGACGUUCGCGGACCUGGCGUCUCCUUUAUCCUGUUUUAGUGGUUAUCCCUUGUAUUUCGGGACAAACUCUAAUCAUUUCAUUCUAAACAUUGUAUUUAGUAAACUCAUAGAUCGUGAGCUAUGUGACACAAGGUUUUGGGGUAGCGUAUUGUGUUAAUUUCGGCAAUUUUAUCUAAUCUCUUUAAAGUUGAGUCUUCCACUUUAAUAUUUUAAAUGCAAGGUUUUAUGUUACUAUCAUGAAUUGUGAAAAAGGUGAUUAAGUCGUCUUGCCUAGCUCCUGUCAGUAGGCCACAUCACGACUCCUGAAAGUGAAAAAUCCGGGUCGUGACAGAUCGCCAAUGAAUGCCUUGACCAUUACCAAAAAAAAAAAAUAGGGGUACUUUGAAGAUCAGAUAUGGAAAAAGCUUUUACCAGUGUAAAAUGGGAUUUCUUAUUCAGGCUGAUGGGCUCUAUAGGAUUUGGAGCUAAAUGGAUAAAUUGGUUAAGGUACUGUAUUACAACUGUUAGAAUUUCUGUGAUCACCAAUGGUGCACCUGACGGUUUCUUCCCUACUCAGAAGGGUUUGAGCCAUGGAGACCCAUUGUUGCCAUGUCUUUUUAUACUUUCCAUGGAAACAUUUAGCUUAAUGCUAAAAAAGGCUGCUGAAUUAAAAUGGUUAGAGGGUUUCAUUAUUGAAGACAAGAAUGGUUGCAAAAUGGGGGUGUCUCAUAUCCUUUAUGCUAAUGACACAUUAGUGAUGUGUAAGGCAGAUCAAAGUCAACCUCUGCAUCGUAAAUCAAUUCUCUUGCUUUCGAAGCCAUAACUGGACUACAUGUGAAUCGGGGAAAGAACAGUAUCUUUUGUCAAUGUUGAGCAUGUCGUUCAGAAGCUGGCUGCUAUCUUAGGUUGCGAGGUUGAAGCAUUUCCUUCUACAUAUGUCGGCAUGCCAUUGGGUUCUAGAUAUAAAGAUACCAAUGUAUGGCAAAGUGAGAGAAAAAUGCGAAGGAAUCUUGCACGGUUGCACCUAGGAAAAACAAAAAUCUCCUUUGGUAGCAGGUCGACUCUAAUCAACAGUGCGCGGGAUGGUGUUCCCUCAUACAUUAUGUUCCUGUUUCCCAUGCCUACAAGUGUGGUGAGGCAGCUAGAUAGGUUAAGAAGAAAUUUCUAGUGGGAUUGUAAUCAAGAAAAAAGAAAUUUCACCUGGCGAACUGGGAAAUUGUUAUUACUGACAAGAAAUAUGGAGGCUUGGGUGUCAAAAUAUAAAGCUGCAAAAAGAGUGUGCUCCCUAAAUGCAUUGGUAAGACCUAUGCCAACAACAUGCCUUCUGUACCUAAUUAGUGAAUGUGAAAAUUAAAUAGGGUCCUACUGGGGUGACUAUGCUAUGAAAUAAGGCACAUCACCCAUUUGUUGCCAUUUUUGCUAAUCUAUCCAGAAUAAUGUGAUUUGAUACAAGGAUAGAAUUACAAAAUAAAUAACAUUCGACUGUCAACGUAAGGGUAGAACAACGGUAUAUACUGUUUCAAAGAGGGUGGCGACAUGGGAUCUCAUCCUUCACUUCAAUGGCGGAGACAGGACUUUUACUAGAGGGAAUCAAAAUAUAAAGAAGUAAAAUGUACAAGGAAGCCAAGGGAAUUCAACACAUAGUGUGUGUGUAUAUAUAUAUAUAUAUAUAUAUACACGCAAAAAUGUACCUAGUUACACAAAGUAAUUUUCCGGCGAAGGGGUGUCAACUCUUAGGACAAAGAUGGACAGUUCACUUCCCACUUUCAGGCAGAUACUUAGUUUGGCCAUGCAGGAUUCUGUCCUAGCAGCCAUAUGCUCCUCUCUUUUUUUUUGUGGGGGUGGGUGGGUGGGUGGGUGAGUGGGGUAUGUUAAUUAUGGUAUCGUUGAAACCAUAAUUAAUUAUGGUAUGGUUGAAACCAUUCCUUCACUGAGCCGAGGGUCGAUUGGAAACAGCCUCUCUGCCCUUUCGGGUAGGGGUAAGGCCCGUCUACAUAUUACCCUCCCCAGACCCCACUCUGUGGGACUAUACUGGGUAGUUGUUGUUGUUGUUGUUGUUGUUAGUAUGGUUGAAACCAUCAUGUUGGUAAAUGCUUUUGAACAGAGGGAGUACAUCAAUG